ACGGGUGAGUAACGCGUGAGCAAUCUGCCUUUAAGAGGGGGAUAACAGUCGGAAACGGCUGCUAAUACCGCAUAAAGCAUUAAAUUCGCAUGUUUUUGAUGCCAAAGGAGCAAUCCGCUUUUAGAUGAGCUCGCGUCUGAUUAGCUAGUUGGCGGGGUAACGGCCCACCAAGGCGACGAUCAGUAGCCGGACUGAGAGGUUGAACGGCCACAUUGGGACUGAGACACGGCCCAGACUCCUACGGGAGGCAGCAUG
rnacentral:rRNA from 1 species